rnacentral:rRNA from 1 species
CAACGGUGAAACUCAAAGGAAUUGACGGGGCCCGCACAAGCGGAGGAACAUGUGGUUUAAUUCGAUGAUACGCGAGGAACCUUACCCGGGCUCAAACGGGAGACGACAGGGGCAGAGAUGCCCUCUUCCACGGACGCCUUCCGAGGUGCUGCAUGGUUGUCGUCAGCUCGUGCCGUGAGGUGUCGGCUUAAGUGCCAUAACGAGCGCAACCCCUGCCGACAGUUGCUAACGGUUAAAGCCGAGGACUCUGUCGGGACUGCCGGCGCAAGCCGCGAGGAAGGCGGGGAUGACGUCAAAUCAGCACGGCCCUUACGUCCGGGGCGACACACGUGUUACAAUGGCCGGUACAGCGGGAAGCCAGGCGGCGACGCCGAGCGGAACCCGAAAACCGGUCUCAGUUCGGAUCGGAGUCUGCAACCCGACUCCGUGAAGCUGGAUUCGCUAGUAAUCGCGCAUCAGCCAUGGCGCGGUGAAUACGUUCCCGGGCCUUGUACACACCGCCCGUCAAGCCAUGGGAG